AAUCAAUCUUCUCAUUUCAUCCUUAUCAGGAGUGACUGAUUAAUUUCCGGUUGCAGACAAAAAAAAAAGGAAAACUAUCUUACAUUCGAAAUGACUGAUUUUUUGUGGGCAGUGAAGAAUGGCGAUUUAGGCGCGGUACAGAGUUUUGUACAAGAGGGAGUCAAUUUGAAUGAAGAAAUAGAAGGAAGAACACCAUUACAUUAUGCUGCAGAUUAUGGCCAUUCAGAGGUUAUAGGAUAUCUGGUGGAUAAGGGAGGGCAAGUUGAUAUUAAAGAUAAACAUGGAAUAACACCUAUAUUAGCAGCAAUAUGGGAAGGUCAUACAAGUAGUGUUAAAAUUCUUUUACAAAAGGGUGCUAGUAAAGAAGGUAGUUCACCUGAUGGGAUGUCGUAUUUAGAAUGUGCAGAAAAAGAGGACAUUAAGCAGCUAUUACAAUGACUGAACAAUAACUAAAACUAAUUUUUUUUUAAAAUAAUAUUGUGAGAGCUUGAAGCUUUCACUAUUUGUCAUAAUCAAGGUCAUAAAAAAUAAUGUUGAAUUUUGAAUGUUAAGUCCUCAUAAAAAGAAGGUUUGUGACAGAAGUGUGUUUAUAGUUCAUGUACUGCCAUCACAUUCAUAAAAUUUUAAGAAUAUAUAUUGAAAAAAAAAAUUACGAAUUUAUUUCACACUGAAAUUUUGUUUUAAAAUAUUAGUUUGAUGAAGGUAAAAACCAUCUUAAGCAUGUCAAGUAGCUUCGUCAAGUAAAGAUCAAUCAUAGACAUAAGGUCUAGAUUUAUAAUAAACUAUUUUCAACAAAAUUUCUUUUGACAAUCAAAUUAAUAGCUAAAGAUUCAAAACUUUAUUUCAAACAUUCUAUUUGAUAUAGAUCUUGUUACAUUUGUAAACAAAUGUUUUAUUGCUGAAAAUUUAUACUCUAUUUUCUCCAGCCUUUAGAAUGUUGAGAGACUGAAGAUUAAGUAAUUGCAUAAUAAUUAUUAAAACAUCAACAUUGUGUUAAUAAUUUUUUUCAUGAAUGGAUAUUUUAAGUCUUAAUUCAUUUAAAAAUGAUUGCACAUAAGUAUUUAAUAUUAACAACGUUUUUAAUAGAUGUUUUUUUUUCUUCAGGAGAGCAUCUAUUAAACAUCUAUUUUUAUGGAAAAGUGAACGUUACUUAUUUUCUUGGAAAAACCAUAAUCUUUAACUUGAUCACAAAAUAUUUAAAUCUAAAGUUUGUAUUUAUAAAAGUGUCAUGUCUAAAUUGAUAUUACCAGAGCACAAGGAUAAUAUUUUUUUUAUACUUUAUAGCUUAAUUACCUUUGCACCAAUACCUUGUCAGGCUUGUGUCAUGUUAUUAAAAUAUGUGAAACCUUUAAGAAUGCAAUUAAUGAGAGCUACAUUAAACUAAUACUUAAGUAUGGGGUAUGCAAUAUGUGUUUCUUUUCAUCCUGACUUGCAUGAGUUUGAAUGAAGAGAAGCAAAAGGUUUGUCUGUGCAUGUAUUUCAAUGUUUUCAGAUUUGAUAAACGAUGUGUGGUUUUCAGUAUUAUGUUCAAAAUGUUAUAAAAAUUUGGCAGUUGCCUCCCUUUGAUUGCUUGGAUUAUCUUAAUUUUGUAAUUAAAUGAACAAAACUUGAUAUUUUACUUCUGUAUGUAUAACUUAAACUGGUUAAUAUUAUUUAUUGCAAUAUUUUAUGCAAUCAAGAAUUUAUAUAAUUCCUUCAGAUCUAAUAUUUUCUUGUAAGUUAAGUCAAAUUUGAACAAAUAGUGGUAAGCUUAGAUUGAAAAGUUAUGACGUUAUACUAAUCAUCGAUAAAGUCUAUUGGAAUAGUUUAGAUAUAGCUCCAAUAUAGAUUGAGUCGGUUUUGUGAUAUUUUUAUUGGAUUUUUUAUUGAAUAAAAUAGUUUAAAUAUGUGUUUUACAUCCAUUUUGAUAAUAGAUAGAAGUCUAACAAAAUCAUUUAUAUAUACCAAUCUAAUAAAAAAUUGAGGUUUUUUAUUUUACAGUUUUUAGAAUGACAUGAAAAUCUGAAAGUAAAUUUUUUUGGAAUUUUUUUUAUGCUUUUUAAAGUAAAAAACAAAGACAAAAUUUUAAAACUUGGAGUUUCGGGGAGUCUUAUGACUUUGUUAUACAAUUAGAAUUAAUGAUAAUAUCAUGUAACAUUUGUUUCUAACGAUAAAAAAAAACUCUUAAUGAAUGACUCAUCCAUGUAACUACAUGUUUAAUAAUGCCAAUGGACUUUUGUCUUGACCUUAUGUCUUGAUAAAUAAACAGACAUAUAUGUAAGAGAAAAACGAUUUGUUAUAAAAGACACUGUUCCAAAUAUCAAUUCAGUAAAGACAAAUUUGAGAGAGAAGAUGGGGUAAAUGUUUUUGGAUUAUUUUUCACCAUAUUUAUUAAACUACACAGUUCAGUGGGAUUCAAAGUACUGCAAAUGGGGUCCGAGGUGAUGGAUACAGUCCAUGUUUUGUUUGUGCUUGUUAAAUGUAAAAGAGGCACUGGAAAGGAUUAUUUGUUGUUCUCUUUAGGUCACAAUCACUGUCAUCGAAAAAAGGAACAGACUGCAAAAGUUUUCAAUGUAAAACAUUAUGUGUCUUUCCAAUAUAGAAUCAACUGGGUUAUAUCUUUCAAUUAUAUGGUAGACUGUUUUUGAAAAAUAUUUUACAGUCACUCUUCAAAAAAAACAUUUAUUUGUUCAGGAGGUAAAAUUUACCCUGACUGAAAAUUUAUGGCAUUGUCCAACUUUUGUCAAAAUUUGUUUAAAAUGUCAUUCUAAUGUUUAGAGAUUUUAUUUUUUUUCCAUUUUGUUGUCAAGGAUACUUGUUGACCACAAAAAGAUGGCAGGCUACUAAAAUAUUAACCCUUUCUAGGGCCUCUAGUUUUUGGUGCAUAUGUACUUGUCAGGUACAAAAUUGUUAUUGAAUCACUAACCUUAUCAUAUGCUUCACAAAUGUCAGUAUUUAUAAUAAAUUUUAUAAAAUAUUA